rnacentral:rRNA from 1 species
UCUAAGGCGCUUGAGAGAACUCAGGAGAAGGAACUCGGCAAAUUGACACCGUAACUUCGGAAGAAGGUGUGCCCUAUUAGUGUGUAGUGAACAACGAAGCAUGAAUGGGUUGCAAAAAAUCGGUGGCUGCGACUGUUUAUUAAAAACACAGCACUCUGCAAACACGAAAGUGGACGUAUAGGGUGUGACGCCUGCCCGGUGCUGGAAGAUUAAAUGAUGGGGUGCAAGCUCUUGAUUGAAGUCCCAGUAAACGGCGGCCGUAACAAUAACGGUCCUAAGGUAGCGAAAUUCCUUGUCGGGUAAGUUCCGACCUGCACGAAUGGCGUAACGAUGGCCACACUGUCUCCUCCUGAGACUCAGCGAAGUUGAAAUGUUUGUGAUGAUGCAAUCUCCCCGCGGAAAGACGGAAAGACCCCAUGAACCUUUACUGUAGCUUUGUAUUGGACUUUGAACAGAUCUGUGUAGGAUAGGUGGGAGGCUUUGAAGCAGGGUCGCUAGAUCUUGUGGAGCCAACGUUGAAAUACCACCCUGGUGUGUUUGAGGUUCUAACCUAGGUCCAUUAUCUGGAUCGGGGACAGUGCAUGGUAGGCAGUUUGACUGGGGCAGUCUCCUCCCAAAGCGUAACGGAGGAGUUCGAAGGUACGCUAGUUACGGUCGGACAUCGUGACGAUAGUGCAAUGGCAUAAGCGUGCUUAACUGCGAGACUGACAAGUCGAGCAGAUGCGAAAGCAGGACAUAGUGAUCCGGUGGUUCUGUAUGGAAGGGCCAUCGCUCAACGGAUAAAAGGUACUCUGGGGAUAACAGGCUGAUACCGCCCAAGAGUUCAUAUCGACGGCGGUGUCUGGCACCUCGAUGUCGGCUCAUCUCAUCCUGGGGCUGUAGCCGGUCCCAAGGGUAUGGCUGUUCGCCAUUUAAAGAGGUACGUGAGCUGGGUUUAAAACGUCGUGAGACAGUUCGGUCCCUAUCUUCCGUGGGCGCUGCAGAUUUGAGGAAGCCUGCUCCUAGUACGAGAGGACCGGAGUGGACACACCUCUGGUGUAUCGGUUGUCACGCCAGUGGCAUUGCCGAGUAGCUAAGUGUGGAAGAGAUAACCGCUGAAAGCAUCUAAGCGGGAAACUCGUUUCAAGAUGAGAUCUGCCGGGGCCUUGAGCCCCCUAAAGAGUCGUUCAAGACCAGGACGUUGAUAGGUCAGGUGUGGAAGCGAAAAAA